GGUGGCUGCAUUCCGUAUCGGUGACGUUCGACGUUUGAUAGUUCAUCAAAUAGUAGCGCUGUUAUUUGGUCAAUUUGGUCACCUGUCAGCUGCGCUACUGGUUUUAGCAGCGCGUUUAGUAGCGACCGGUAAAGUGUCAAGUAAUGAUACUGCGUUGACAAACGGUUUAUACUCACCACCGAAAUGAAGCUUAUGAUAAAUAAAAUACUGCUGCUUGCUGGUCACUGAUUGAAGAUCGUUCAGUGGCUACCAUUGGCCAAUCUCACCAACGGGAUAAUAAGAACUGAUGCAGGUUUAUAUCUAUAUGUAUUGUCUAUUCGGAACAAAGUUAGUAAGCUUUAUAAACCGAUGUUGGAUUUUUCUCCAGAUACAGGCAACCCACUUAACUUUGGAAGUAGUGCGUUGGAUUCGUCUAAAGAUAUGCAAAACAA